rnacentral:lncRNA from 1 species
AGGUAUAAUUUAUAGUUUGAAUUUCCUUCGGCAAUCUUGCUAUUAUGGGUACGGUGUAUAAGUGUACAGGUGUAUAUAUACUUCAUACAUCAAAGUUGAUAUCUCUUAUUUUCCAGAAAAUGGGUCGGAAAAACUUUGGAACGAUCGUUGAGAAAUUAUUCCGUCACGGGUUCAUAAUUAUGGUCCAAAUAAAUUCACGGAGAAUCCCUCAAGGAUUCGUGCUUUAGGAUUCAAUUUUUCACAAUCGCUGUUUUCUCCUUCCGUUCCGAACAAAAAGGAACCGAACAAUUUUUAUUUCUUCUAACGCGGAUGUAACGCGCGGUUUGCGUAAUUGGUAAAUGUUUUUUUCUUUUUUUUUUUUUUUUUCUUCCAUCACACGUACGAGGUACACGCAUACGUUUGUUGUAUCAACAGCGAAAUGAUAUUUGCGAGGUGAAUUUAAACGAAAUCAUGCGCCUAGUCGCGUCGGUCAGAGUCAACGCACUAUUUAGACCUUGCGGAAUAUUUAGAAAUGCUCAGGGUCUAGGUGCAGACUAUACCGAUCGUUGUAUUCGUACGGCGGUUCACUCGCACCAGGAAGGUCGCUGAAAUAUUUCUGGACUUUUGUAUAAAUUUAUUUAUUUAUUUAUUUUUUUUUUCUCUCUCUCUCGUCAACAAACGUUAACCGCGACCUGCAUCGUUACAAGCGCAUUAUUUUAUAAUCGCCGUGACGCGUUAACGAAUAUUUUCCGUUUCGAUUCAAUUUUCGCGUACACCGUGUGAUUAUCGAGAACUUUGAGAAAAUUAUUCCGACGUAGUUCGAAGAGAAAAAUUGCCCAAUAAUUCUCGUGUCGUAUCUUUCGUUCUUCGGAUCGGAAAUCGUUGGAGACGAUCGAUAAAGGAUUGGAUAACAGCUUCGCGGGAUGAAGGAGACUACGAAUUCUUAACUGACGCAAAAUCCGACGCCGAAACGUUCGAGACGCGAGCUCAUAUCCAUCCAUCUAUUCCCAUAAACGGUUCGCAUCCGUCUUCGUUUAGCAACUGUGCUGUACUCGUCGUCGAGGGCAUCCCGUUCCCCCCCGACGGUCGACUAUAUCGAGCGAUAUGGAGGUGCACAAAAUCCACGGGUAUUUGUGUUACAACGCCGAAAAUCACAACUGACGAAUCGGUGAGGGCACACCCGUCGCGCGCGGACCUCCAAAGUAUCAUUCCAUCAAGGAUAACAGGUCGACGACGUUCCUGUGGGCGCGACACUUGGGAGUUUAACGAACGAACGGAGGGACGUGUCGGAACCAGAUGACCAUUGCGUGACGGUAGCGAAUCAGGACAUCAACGAGUCUCUCCAAAGAUCGACGCCUCUCCAUCCUGAUGAUGAUCAGAUGAUGGAUCUGCAACACAUGAGACGUACAACACCUUCCUUUU